AAAAAUGUAAUAAAUGUCCACACCCCCACACAAUGCACCGCUCUUCACUCCACCCCUCCCUCCUUUGUGAUUGAAAAUGAGAGUCCCUUCACCUUUAGAAAAGAAAAUAGAUGAGCGGUCUGCACCCGCAAGGCGGUGCUCUUGUUUAUCAAAUGUGGUUAAUAUUGUUGUAAGUGCAUAUACAUUACCCUUCUUUACAACUGAACUAUUACUAGAAAGUGCUUCUAAUGAUAUUUGGUUUUGUGCUUCAUAUAAAUAACGGAAUAUUAAAAACGUUUGCAAUUCAGAAAAAAAGCAUAUUUAUUGUGCGUAUAGUACUGUUUAGAAAUCCAAUCCUAUAAGUACAAUUGAUUGAUGAUAAAUCAUGCUCAAAAAGGGUUGAAAUCCAGAAAUAGCAUAAAUAAAACUAUAUGUAUAUAUAUAUAUAUAUAUAUGUAUUACAUUCCAAUCAAAUGACCAUUUAAUAUUCAUUCCAGGUGUUAUUUGCCAUGUAUAUGAUGUUAAUAUUUGCAGCUUUUAUGGCACAAAGACUAAACAUAAAAGGACUGUAUCUCAUGUAGAAAUGUUAGGCAUUUACAACAUUUUCCUUCUCAACCCUUUCUUGCAUGCUGAUGCUGCCCUAUUAUAAUGCUGCAGUGUUCAUUAUGACAAGACUUCUGCUUUGAUUCUAGACAAAAAAAAUAAAUGAUGAGCUUGAGUUGUUAAUUUGAUAAGUCAAAAAUAAAAUUGUAAAAUGUUGGUAAGAAAACUUAACGUUAAUUAUUAUAAUUAUCGGACACAUGCUUUGAAUUAACUAUAAUAUAUUAUAUAUUUGUUUUUCUUUACAAUUUUAGUUUUUCAUAUGUUAUUUAUGAAAAUAAUAUGUUAUUUAUGAAAAUAAUUAGCAUAAGUUGAUAAUUUGCAAUGUUAUUUAUGAAAAUAAUUAGCAUAAGUUGAUGAUUUGCAAGAAAUCAGGGCCAGGAUUGUUCCUGAUUUUGAACACUCCCUACCUGAUGUAGGAGCUUGUGUAUGCUGUAAUUUCAAUUGUUUACUAUUUAUUAAUUUAUUCAGUUUAUCAGUGCUUAACUUUGUUUCUAAAAUGUGCUGUUAUCAGAAUUUUGUUAUUUCAUGUGUUCAUGUUUGUGUGCAAAUUACAUUUAAAUUCUCAAACAUAUUAAGCCUGCAAUUUUAACAAAUGAGGAUGGUUAUUAGUGCAGUAAAUUAGCAUUUUGUUAUUUAUUUAUUUCAAGUCAAUUAUAAGUAUUUACAUAUGAUCAAGUCAAGAUACAGAAUGUUGCAAUUUAAGACAUUUCCAUAAAUUCCUUUUAAAAAAAUGCAGAAAUCAUUUCUUAUUGACAUCUUAUAAACCAAAAUACAAAAAUACUGGAUUCACAUAUGUCAAUUAAUAACAUUUUAGUAAUAACUAAUUGCAUAGUUUCUGUACUGGCAACAGAUUUUGAUGCCUCGAUCAGGAGUAAAUCAAGGACGUCUUCAGUACCAAUUGUAUAGUUAAAUAUACAUUCUAUUAACAUCAAGUGCUUUCAAACGUAUACAUAGUUAAAUGUAUUUCUUACAAUUGAAAUACUUUUCAGUGAAAUACAUUUCAUAUACCUUUUAUAAGGUCUGAUACCCUUUUAAUUGCUUUUAAUUAUACUUUGCUUAACAUUUGUCUUCAAAUGCAUAAAUUUGCGAACGGGAGGUCACGGGUUCGAUCUCCGCUGUGGGAGCGUCCUUUAGAUCUCCCCUAAAUACACCAAGUACUGGUUCUAUGCCCAGAACUCUAUAGCGUUUCAAUAAGCAUACACUUUAGAUGCAAUCAAGCUUAAAUAUAUAGGUUUAAACUAAAACCCAUACAUUUAUCUAUCCAUGACAUAUACAGCAAAAUUGCGUUUUGUGCUAUUAAGUUUGUUAUACCCCCUGUCGCAAAGUAAGGCAGGUAUCAGUGAGUCACCAUAUACGUAUCACUUUCCGCCUUGACUAGAAUUUUACUAAGAAGAUACUUUCUUUAAACAAAAAAUAUAAUAAAAGCGGAAAGUGUCGUCCCUGAUUAGCCUGUGCAGACUGCACAGGCUAAUCUUGGAGGACACUUUACGCACAUGCAUUAAACCCUGUUCUUCACAGAGCACGACUAAUUUAUAUGCUACAUUAUGUGUUUGCCAUUUACUGAGUUUCAUCAAAUUAUGACCCUAGGGUCAUAACUGACAACACUUGCCAACAUUCAGGUGUCAAAUUAUUUUUAUAUAGAACUAGAGGGUAAACUAAUCUCUGACACCACAUGGCCAAACAUUUUAAUAUUUGGUUUGUUGCAAUGUAUUAUGCAUCUGUACAAACUUUUUGCGUUAAAAAGCCCCAGUGGUAAAAACUUUCCAAGUCCAAUGGUCAAAUUUGUCAUUUUUGUCAUAUUUCUACAUUUCUUUGGGGUGGGGGGGGGGGGGGGGGUAUUUGUUGUUGAUCUUUUUUUUGGUCUUUUUAAAAAAAAAACAUACUCCAUACAUUAGUUGGGUAAAAACUGUGUUUCGAAAAAUUGUAAAAUUGGUGAAAUCGUAUACAAUCUAAAAUGUAACAAAAAGUCUUAAACUUUUGAAAUAUUGUUGUUUUGUUGUUUUUUAUGCCCCUGGAUCGAUAGAUAGGGGAUAUAUUGUUUUUGGCCUGUCUGUCUGUCAUUCUGUCCCAAAACUUUAACCUUACACUUAAGUUUUGCAAUACUUUUGGAAAUAUUGAACAUAGCAACUUGAUAUUUGGCAUGCAUGUGUAUCUCAUGGAGCUGCACAUUUUUAGUGGUGAAAGGUCAAGGUCAUCCUUCAAGGUCAUAGAUAAAAAAAAGCGGUGCAUUAGGGGCAUUGUGUUUCUGAUAAACACAUCUCUUGUUUUGCUAAGUAAGAGUAGGUUUUGUGAAAAGACAAAAUGUGUGUUUACCUUCCUUUUAAUGCAAAGCAUUCCAAGUAAAUGUGCAAUACCGUGAGUGUUUAUAGUAACAGAUUUACAUGUAUGGAAGAACAAUUUGCAAUAUUUGGACUUGUUUUGGAGAUAUGUUUAUAUUUUAGUGAUAUAAUAAAGUGAGCAUGUAUGUUGUUUUCCUAUCUAUAUGGACAUGUGUAUUUGACAUUUAGUUUAGAGCAAACGCCAGUAUCUGAUGCAUCGCAUAUGUUUUAUUUGGAACAUGCACAAAGUAUGAAGUGACUGACUGGUUUAAGAAAUAAUAUGAGACGCGUUCUGAGAAAACUGGGCUAAAUGCAUGUGCGUAAAGUGUCGUCCCGGAUUAGCCUGUGCAGUCCGCAUAGGCGAAUCAGGGACAACACUUUCCGCUUUAAUGGUAUUUUUAGUUUCAAGGAAGUCCCUCUUCACCGAAAAUCAUGUUAAGGCGUAAAGUGUCAUCCCUGAAUAGCCUGUGCGGACUGCACAGGCUAAUCUGGGUUGACACUUUACGCACAUGCAUUACGUCCAGUUUUCUCAGAACACGACUCGUAUAUUGGUCUUACUUACUCUGCUCUAUCUGACUGAUUCAGACCCAUAUUUAUCCAUCCAUCUGAUGAAAAGUCAAUCUUUUUUUUUGCACCAAUGCCUUGUACAGAUAUGUUGCUCAGCCAUUGAUGACUCUUUCUCAAUGAAGAAUGAAAAUCUUCAAUUAGUUGGAAACAACCUGGCAGGGUUCUCAAUAACUUUUGAGCCAACAGGCCCAAAUGUGAAAUCAACAGGCCUUGUAGGGGAUCCGGGGGGCAUGCUCUCCCUGAAAAUGUUAAAAUUGAGCACUUGAUUUCCUGCAUUUUUGCCAUUUUAUGUCAAUUUAAGUGGUCAACCAGGCACGUUGCCAAUUUUGCCGGCGGCCGGCUCUUAUUGAGAACCCUGCCUGGGAGAGUAUUUUUGUAUAAAAACUGUUUCUAGUAUGAUGUUGAUAAGUUAUUAUACAGUCUGAAACUGGAUGUAGUGACUAGGACCUAUGCCCUUCACUUUAAGCUAUGCCUCACUUUGGGAAAACAGGGCUUAAUUCAUGUGCAUGAAGUGUCAUCCCAGAUUGCACUGGCUAAUCAGGGAUGACUCUUUCCACUUUUUAGUAUUUUUUUGUUGAAAGGUAGUCUAUUCAUAGCAAAAGUCAGAAAUUAUGGUUCCUGAUUAGCCUGCGCAGACGCCUAAUCCACAUGCAUUAAACCAAGUUUUCCUCCGAGGGGGCUCAUAUUCAUUGCCAGUUUGUGUGCGUGGCUCUAUUUAUUUGGCAUCGCUAGUUUUCAUUGAUCAGGGCUAUAUAUGGUUUGGUAGCUCAAGAAUGUUGUAAGUGACCUGUGCUAUUCUCAGUUAAACACUAGUUAAACCCCUCUCACCAUUUAAAUAUAGAAGGCACUGUCAUGAUUGUUUCGUGUUAGCUGUUGACAAUUUCUCCUGCUAUUCAAUAUCAAUGCUUACAAUAUUGAAUUUAGAGGCACUUUUUGUAGGCAUACUUUCCUACAAGUAUUCUGUAUUACAAGAAUGUACCUUUAGUACACAAUUCUAAUAAUUUGAAAUUGUGUGAUCAAAUACUCUCAAUAUUGAUAUUAAGCUUGAUGUAAACUUUCUAGAUUUAGAAUCCUAUUGACUUCAAUCAAGUUUGGGAUUUCUUAUGUUUAUGAAAUAACAUGAUCAUGAUCUUUGAUCAUUUAAGUAGUUCUGAAAUAAGAUUGGAACAAUUGCUUUUCUAUGAAAGCCCAUUUGCUUUGUACAAUAUGUGUCACAAAAUUAUUAUUAAAAAUUAUUUUGACAUAUUUAAAUACAAAAUAACUACCAUAGAUUAUACCUCGUGUCUGAGAGAUUGGCCUAAACUUGUGAUUGUCAUUAUUGAUAAAACUCAUAUAAGCCUUAUUUUAAUAUUUCUGGUUAUUAUUCCCCCGCCAAAGGCGGAGUGAUAUAGAAUUGGGCUUGUCAGUCUGUCAGUUGCAAAAUAUUUUAGGGCUAUAUCCAAGAAAUAUAUAAGAUAUCAACAUAAAACUUAAUAGGUGUAUAGAUAUUAAUAUGGAGAAGUGUCCUGCACAAGAACCAUAACCCUUCACUUUAUUUUAUAAGAGUUAUUGCCCUUUUUUUUUGUAUCAUGCAUUUUUCAGGGCUUUAUCUGAGAUACCAUGCAAUAUUCCAAUGUGAAACUUAAUCGGUGUAUUGAUAUUAAUUAUGAGAAAUGCCAUGCUUAAGAACCAUAACCCUUCACUUUCUUAAAUAAUCGUCAUUGCCCUUUUGUUGUUUUGUAUGAUGAAACUUUUCAGGGCUAUAUUUCAAAUAUGAUAAACAUUUCAACAUGAAACUUCAUUGGUGUGUAGAAAUCAAUGGGAAUCUGUGCCAUGCACAAGAACCAUAAUCCAUUACUUUCUUAAUUUAGAGUAAUUGCGUUUUGUUUUGUAUGGUGUAGCUUUCCAAGGCUAUAUCUCAGAUAUGCUACAAGUUUUCAACAUGUUACUUCAUGGGUGUGUAGAUACCAAUGAGGAGAAUUGCAAUUAUAUGAUUAAUUAGCAUACACUUAGUUAUAACCUAUUAAUUAUUACUCUACACUUUAUGAUUAUACUAUAUAUCAAGGGAUUUGCACCAAUCAAUUAAAAAAGUUUAUUUGGCGGGGAUAUCAAUUUGCUUGUGGUACAUGUAUAAGGUAUUUAUUUAUCAGUAUUGCAUGAAUACCUGCUUGUAAAUUUAUUUAAAGGGUAAAUUAAUUCUGAAUGGUUAUUUCCAUUAUAAUUGUUAUACACUAAGAAUAUUCAUAGUUGCUGAAUUUGAUAAUAGCUAUUUAUAUUUUCAAAUCUUAGGCUGUUUUUUUUUAUAGACAUGCAUAUAGACAAGUGUGUGUUAUAUAUCAAAUACAAACAAUUGCCUGUUAUUAUAUUAAGUUAUGAAAUUCAUACCCGUGUCCUUUGUUGUAUAUUUUAUUUUGUCUGGAUAGUGAGUUAUAUUUUGUAUGCAGAUGCAAAAGCUCUUUCAAUAUUAUGUAAUGUAGAGACUUGUUGUUUAAUUUUAAAUAAUCUAAACUGUUCUUGCACUUAACAAUACUAUGUUGGUAUGAUUGUUUCAAUCAGCCUUAUAAACAUAAUUCAGCAUGUGAUUCACAAGAUAACAUUUAUAGAAUACACAUAUUUUUUAUGUUAAAACAAUAGAACAUUCCUCUGUAUGGAUUAGAGUUCAUAUAUUACAAACUUGUUCAUCUUUGUACGACAAAGUAAACAUAGAAAUGAUUAUACUUUCAUCAAUGUGGUGCCCAUCAGCUUUUACCUGCAACAUUUUCCACGCAAAAUUAUUAAAGCAUAAAGCUUCGUGCAAAGGAUGAAUGUUGUUUAUAAAAGCUUCAUUUAGUUAAUAGUAUUUCAAAUAAUUUUAUUAGAUUAAUAUUAAUCAAGAAGGUUGAUAUUCUUAAUCAUUUUUUUAUCAGCCUGUUUCAGAUAUUAUAAACCUCUGUUUUAUUAAUACCUUUGUUCAACUUUUUUCACCAAUGCAUGUCCUUGCUUAGUACAUUAUAUGAUUACAUUUUGAGAGAAACAGAAGGCCGAGUUUUAAUAGUUUAAAUAUAAUUGUAAUGAUAAUGCUUAAAAAUGAACAACCUUAUGCCACCUAAAUUCGUCAUUUAGUGAACAUCUGCAAAUUAGUUCCUUCUGCAUAUAUGGGCUUGAGAAAAAAGUUUCAUUUUAAAAGUAAUUUAUUGAAAUGUAAUUAUUUGCGAUUUUAUUAAAAACCAUGUAUUAAUAUACUUCCAUGCCUGUCGUUCUAUAAAAGCAAAUUAAAUGUGCGUUAAAA